CAGCAGCCACGGUAAUACGAGGGGGGCAAGCGUUGUUCGGAAUUAUUGGGCGUAAAGGGUGCGUAGGCGGUUUCGUAAGUCUGAUGUGAAAUCUAUGGGCUCAACCCAUAGUCUGCAUCGGAAACUGCGAGGCUUGAGAGUGGGAGAGGUGAGUGGAAUUUCCGGUGUAGCGGUGAAAUGCGUAAAUAUCGGAAGGAACACCUGUGGCGAAAGCGGCUCACUGGACCACUUCUGACGCUGAUGCACGAAAGCUAGGGGAGCAAACAGGAUUAGAUACCCCCGUAGUCCCUGUCUCUUAUAC
rnacentral:rRNA from 1 species